rnacentral:lncRNA from 1 species
GUCUUCUUUCUAUGAUAUACAAAGGAACGUCAAGGAGAGCAAUUUAUAAAGACUAGACAUAAAAAACAUGUUUUCUUCUCAUUCCAGUCUUAAAUCAUUUCAGUUACAAUAAUUAGUUAUAGGGAUUUGGAUCUGAAGGUGGAACUGUAAGGGUGUUGGAAUUUUACAAGUUUAUUUUCCAUAUGCAGAAUGACCACUUUCCCACAAAUCUGAAACAGACAGGUGUUGUUGACCUGCAAAGAGCCUUUCUCAUUCUGGCAGGAUUCUUCUGUUUAUACUAAGAGUAAUAAAAUUCCACCAAGAUGCAUAUUUGUCCAUCACUGGAAGAAGUGGAUUUAUUUGCUCAUGCUGCAGCAAAGGAGAACUGUAAAUAGUCAAGUCCAACUGAUAUGUGCAAGCCAGCUGCACUGUGCAUGUCAGAUCCAGACUGCAAGUUUUUGAAUUCUUGUGUCUGUUUUUCUAGUUUUGAAUAUCCUCUGAAGUUGUAAGAUUCUUGUCACCCAGCAUAUCUGCUAAAUUGGAGCAGCCUUUCUUUUUUUCUAACGCAUUCUACAAACUUGAAGGCUAGCAACAAAACCUAGAUUUUAAGAGCUAUGAAUGACUGAGCCACUGCAUUCUAGCCUGGGGAACAGAGUGAGACUCUGUAUCAGGAAAAAAAAAAAAAAGAGAGAAAAGAAAAAAAAGAGAGAGAGCUAUGAAUAAACUAUGAGUACACUAAGUUCUCUUAUGAAUUAAUGGCAUGGAUUUGACAUGAUCAAAUUAUUUGUGAAAUUCCACAUUACCUUUUUGCUUAUUUCCUGUUGCCUGUCUGUUUUUCAGACAGCAUUCUCAAAGUGAUGCAUGAAGCAGGUCAAGCAUGGCCUGGAGCAAUUGUGCUGUGACUCAAUUUUCUCAUUUGUCAUGACUAGAUAGUAAUAGGGUUGUCUUGACAAUUAAUAAAAAACAUAUGGAUAUUUUACACACAUAUACAACAAAUAACACUGUAUUAAUAUUAUGUGCUCAAUAAAUAUUAGUCCAAAAAUAUCUGUUUUUCAGACAAGAAAGGUGAAGUUGAUAGAGAGCUGAGUUUUGGAUAAAUGAGAUAUUACUUCAUUACUAAACCACAUUCUAUGUUUAGAACAUAAUAUGAUAGUAUAAGAUGUUUGGGGCGGGCCCAAGAAAUUUACAUUUAAAUGAGUCUCUUAAGAGAUUUGUCUGCACUGGCCUAGAGUUUAAAGUGACCAUAUUUGAGUAAUACCAUUCUCCAACUGAAGCAUGUAGCAAGUCAAGCAUGACCUGGAGCAAUUGUGCUAUGACUCAAUUUUCUCAUGUGUCACAUGGAGAUAGUAAUAAGGUUACCUUAACAACUAAAUAAAAAUAUAUGGAUAUAUGACAUACACAUAUGCAACUAAGAACACUACAAUAAUAUUAUGUACCCAAUAAAUAUUAGUCCAAAAAUGUCUGCCUCA